AUUAAACGUUGGCGGCAUGCCUUACACAUGCAAGUCGAACGGCAGCACGGGGGCAACCCUGGUGGCGAGUGGCGGACGGGUGAGUAACACAUCGGAACGUGCCCUGGAGUGGGGGAUAACGCAGCGAAAGCUACGCUAAUACCGCAUAUUCUGUGAGCAGGAAAGCAGGGGAUCGCAAGACCUUGCGCUUUGGGAGCGGCCGAUGUCGGAUUAGCUAGUUGGUGGGGUAAAGGCUUACCAAGGCGACGAUCCGUAGCGGGUCUGAGAGGAUGAUCCGCCACACUGGGACUGAGACACGGCCCAGACUCCUACGGGAGGCAGCAGUGGGGAAUUUUGGACAAUGGGCGGAAGCCUGAUCCAGCCAUGCCGCGUGAGUGAAGAAGGCCUCGGUU
rnacentral:rRNA from 1 species